UAUGGGUGGGCAUAUUACAGCGCUUUUUCGAGAAAGCGCUGUAAUAUGUACACCCAUAUAUGAAAUUAUGGGUGGGCAUAUUACAGCGCUUUUUUGAGAAAGCGCUGUAAUAUGCACACCCAUAACUCAU